rnacentral:rRNA from 1 species
UUUAUGGAGAGUUUGAUCCUGGCUCAGGAUGAACGCUGGCGGCGUGCCUAAUACAUGCAAGUCGAGCGAACGGACGAGAAGCUUGCUUCUCUGAUGUUAGCGGCGGACGGGUGAGUAACACGUGGAUAACCUACCUAUAAGACUGGGAUAACUUCGGGAAACCGGAGCUAAUACCGGAUGAUAUUUUGAACCGCAUGGUUCAAAAGUGAAAGACGGUCUUGCUGUCACUUAUAGAUGGAUCCGCGCUGCAUUAGCUAGUUGGUAAGGUAACGGCUUACCAAGGCAACGAUGCAUAGCCGACCUGAGAGGGUGAUCGGCCACACUGGAACUGAGACACGGUCCAGACUCCUACGGGAGGCAGCAGUAGGGAAUCUUCCGCAAUGGGCGAAAGCCUGACGGAGCAACGCCGCGUGAGUGAUGAAGGUCUUC